GAAGACGACGACGUUGAUAGGCCGGGUGUGUAAGCGCAGCGAUGCGUUGAGCUAACCGGUACUAAUGAACCGUGAGGCUUAACCUUACAACGCCGAAGCUGUU
rnacentral:rRNA from 2 species